rnacentral:rRNA from 1 species
GACGAACGCUGGCGGCGUGCUUAACACAUGCAAGUCGAGCGAACAGGCCCUGCUUUUGCGGCGUGCACGUUUGGCGAACGGGUGUGUAUCACGUGUGUAAACUGCCCCUGUCUGUCGGAUAACUUCUCGAAACUCCGGCUCUAACACCAUAGGAGCUACUGCAGCACAGUGGGGGAUGGUAAAUUUCGGCGGUUGUGGAUGGUAUCGCGGCUUCUCAGCUUGUUGGUGUGGUAGUGGCUUACCAAGGCUAUGACGGGUAGCCGGCCUGGGAGGGCGACCGGCGACAUGGGGACUGAGGGAGGGCCCAGACUCCGACGGGAGGCAGCAGUGGGGAACAUUGCAGAAUGGGCGGAAGCCUGAUGCAGCAGCGCUGCGUGCGGGAUGACGGCCUUCGGGUUGAAAACCACUUUCGCCGGUGACGAAGAGUGAUUGACGGUAAUGGGUAAAGAAGCAACGGCUAACUACGUG